UGGGGAAUUUUGGACAAUGGGCGAAAGCCUGNUCCAGCCAUGCCGCGUGUCUGAAGAAGGCCUUCGGGUUGUAAAGGACUUUUGUCAGGGAGGAAAUCCCCAGCGCUAAUACCGCUGGGGGAUGACAGUACCUGAAGAAUAAGCACCGGCUAACUACGUGCCAGCAGCCGCGGUAAUACGUAGGGUGCGAGCGUUAAUCGGAAUUACUGGGCGUAAAGCGUGCGCAGGCGGUUUGAUAAGCCAGAUGUGAAAUCCCCGAGCUCAACUUGGGAACUGCGUUUGGAACUGUCAGACUAGAGUGCGUCAGAGGGGGGUGGAAUUCCGCGUGUAGCAGUGAAAUGCGUAGAGAUGCGGAGGAACACCGAUGGCGAAGGCAGCCCCCUGGGAUGACACUGACGCUCAUGCACGAAAGCGUGGGGAGCAAACAGGAUUAGAUACCCUGGUAGUCCACGCCCUAAACGAUGUCAAUUAGCUGUUGGGGGUUAGAAUCCCUGGUAGCGUAGCUAACGCGUGAAAUUGACCGCCUGGGGAGUACGGCCGCAAGGUUA
rnacentral:rRNA from 1 species